rnacentral:lncRNA from 1 species
CGCAUGGUCCCAGCGCGCGUGCGCCCCUGAAGGCGGGUUCCGGUGGCAGCGCCGGGGUCUCAGACCCUGAGGAGACUGAGCCCAGCGCCAGGCGACCGGUCCCCGCCGCCGCCGCCCCUGCGCGGGAGAUCCCCCCUGCUUAGUCCGCGCCCGAGCCCCCGUCCGUGGGAACAGACAAGGGGCCUCCGCAGCGCCUCACAACCCCCGACCAGGUCCAGCGGCGGGGGACUCGGCCGUGGAGGGCGCUGUUCGGUCUGGAUGGCUACACCCCCCACCAGCAGGGGCAAGAGGAGCAGCGGGAUGGGAGCAGGCCAACGUCCUGCGGCCUGGUUGAGCUCGCACUGACAAUCGCAGGCCCAGUAACCCGCAGGUCACCGCGCUCCCCACCUGCGUUGCUGACGGUGACAUCGUCAGGGGAGGGGGGCGCGCCUUCCCAGAGGCUCAGGUCGCGAGGGUAGCCGGGGUCCGGGCGCGCCGCCGCCUCGUCGUAGCGCCAGUACUGCCGGCCGCGGACCAGAGUUGCUGCAGGCCAUCGCGGUCAUCCUGAGACAGGCGGUACUUGUCAGGGUCGCCCACCGGACCCUGGUAGAAGGGCCUCAUAAUGGAGUUGGGGGCUGAGGAGUGGCCCAGGCCCAGGGCGUGGCCAAACUCAUGGACAGCCACGGCAAACAGGUCGGUCCCCUCGCCGUCUGCAGGAGAAAGUGGGUGAGAGCUGCGGCCGCCCCUGCUUGGGGAAAGGGGCCACAGGAAGGCCCUGCGAGUGCAGCUGGGGCCAACAGGAACAGCAGGACACCCUCCAGAGGUGGCCCCAGCCUCCUCUGCCCAGCCCUUCCUGAACUCUCCAUCAUCCCUGUCUCCAGUCACUCAGUCAGCAUGGCUGUGAUGGACACUGGACCACAGGGCUGAAAAGAUCCAGAGAACACACAGAGGAAUAGGCCACCUUACACACCGAUGGGGCCCCUCCUCUGGGAAGGGAGCACUUUGUGCACAGAAGUUUGAGGGGGAGGAGCUGGGUGUGGUGGCUCAUGCCUGUAAACCCAGCACUUUUGGAGUCCCAGGUGGGAGGAUCGCUUGAGCCCAAGAGUUCAAGACUGGCCUGGACAACAUAAGGAGAUCCCCAUCUCUACAAAAAAAUUUUAAAAAUUGGCCAGGAGUGGUGGCGCAUGCCUGUGGUCCCAGCUACUCAGGUCCCAGGCUGAGGCAGGGAGGCAGGAGAAUCGCUGGAGCCCGGGAGGUGGAGGCUGCAGUGACGCAUGACCAUGUCAUUGCACUCCAGCCUGGAGGACAGAAUAAGGCCCCGUCUCAAAAAAAGUAAAAAGAAAAAAAAAGAAAAAGAAAAUAAAAGAAACUUAAGAGGGCGGUGGGGUGAGGGCAGGAGCCUACAAGGUGCGUGCCAUUCUCUUCAGGCAGCCCCAGCCCUGGGAGCAUCCCCUCCUCCCAGCUACAGUCUAUAGUCAGCGACCCCCACCCGUCUCCCCCUUGCCACCCCCAUCUGCUGGGGAUGUAGGUCCAUGUCCUUGACCCAAGACCUUCC